rnacentral:lncRNA from 1 species
CCCUUCAUUAUUGCACACCAGGGGUAUCCCACAGUGACAUUUAUUCAUCUGUCAACAUCCUCACAUGGAUAGAACUGCUCAGUUUUCCAGUGGCAAAUGGAAAUGGCUCAUACACUUUAGGACUGCAAGUGAUACUUCUCAUAAAUAUUUAGAAAGACAGACAAGUAGUAAGAACUUUUAAAAUGGAAUGUGGAUGUUGAAGCCUUCCUUCA